UACGUAGGGGGCAAGCGUUGUCCGGAUUUAUUGGGCGUAAAGCGCUCGCAGGUGGUUCGUCGCGUCGUGCGUGAAAGACCCCGGCUCAACUGGGGAGGGUCGUGCGAUACGGGCGGACUGGAGGCCAGUAGGGGGAUGCGGAAUUCCGGGUGUAGUGGUGGAAUGCGUAGAGAUCCGGAGGAAGACCAGUGGCGAAGGCGGGUCUCUGGACAGUUCCUGACGCUGAGGCACGAAGGUCAGGGGAGCAAACGGG
rnacentral:rRNA from 1 species